rnacentral:tRNA from 1 species
GUCUAUGUAGUAUACUAAUUACACUGGUCUUGUAAACCAGUAAUGGGGAGACAACUAUCCCCCACAGACU